AGUGAACGCUGGCGGUAGGCCUAACACAUGCAAGUCGAACGGCAGCACAGUAAGAGCUUGCUCUUACGGGUGGCGAGUGGCGGACGGGUGAGGAAUACAUCGGAAUCUAAUUUUUCGUGGGGGAUAACGUAGGGAAACUUACGCUAAUACCGCAUACGACCUACGGGUGAAAGCAGGGGAUCUUCGGACCUUGCGCGAUUGAAUGAGCCGAUGUCGGAUUAGCUAGUUGGCGGGGUAAAGGCCCACCAAGGCGACGAUCCGUAGCAGGUCUGAGAGGAUGAUCAGCCACACUGGAACUGAGACACGGUCCAGACUCCUACGGGAGGCAGCAGUGGGGAAUAUUGGACAAUGGGCGCAAGCCUGAUCCAGCCAUACCGCGUGGGUGAAGAAGGCCUUCGGGUUGUAAAGCCCUUUUGUUGGGAAAGAAAAGCAGCAGGUUAAUACCCCGCUGUUCUGACGGUACCCAAAGAAUAAGCACCGGCUAACUUCGUG
rnacentral:rRNA from 1 species